rnacentral:rRNA from 1 species
GGGAUUGCCCUAGUAACGGCGAGUGAAGCGGCAACAGCUCAAAUUUGAAAUCUGGCCCUCGUGGUCCGAGUUGUAAUUUGUAGAGGAUGCUUUAGGUGCGGUGCCUUCCGAGUUCCCUGGAACGGGACGCCAGAGAGGGUGAGAGCCCCGUACGGUUGGACACCUACCCUGUAUAUAGCUCCUUCGACGAGUCGAGUAGUUUGGGAAUGCUGCUCUAAAUGGGAGGUAAAUUUCUUCUAAAGCUAAAUACCGGCCAGAGACCGAUAGCGCACAAGUAGAGUGAUCGAAAGAUGAAAAGCACUUUGAAAAGAGGGUUAAAUAGCACGUGAAAUUGUUGAAAGGGAAGCGUUUGCGACCAGACUUUUUCCGGGGGGAUCAUCCGGUGUUCUCACCGGUGCACUCCGCCCGGUUUAGGCCAGCAUCGGUUCUCUUAGGGGGAUAAAGGCUUGGGGAACGUAGCUCCUUCGGGAGUGUUAUAGCCCCUUGCGUAAUACCCCUCGGGGGACCGAGGAUCGCGCUCUGCAAGGAUGCUGGCGUAAUGGUCGUCAACGACCCGUCUUGAAACACGGACCAAGGAGUCGAACAUUUGUGCGAGUGUUUGGGUGUUAAACCCUCACGCGUAAUGAAAGUGAACGGAGGUGAGAGCCCUUACGGGUGCAUCAUCGACCGAUCCUGAUGUCUUCGGAUGGAUUUGAGUAAGAGCAUAACUGUUCGGACCCGAAAGAUGGUGAACUAUGCGUGGAUAGGGUGAAGCCAGAGGAAACUCUGGUGGAGGCUCGCAGCGGUUCUGACGUGCAAAUCGAUCGUCAAAUCUGCGUAUGGGGGCGAAAGACUUAUCGAACCCAUUUUUUUC